CUGUGUGAGACCUUGUUAAUGGCAGUUAUUGCUUGACUCUUCUCCCUUUGACUAAACCAUGGCGGCAUGUGGUAUUCAGCCCACAGGGUCCCGGAAAAAAUACUAAACACUGAUGGUGGGCCAAGACCAAAAAUCCAACGGAACAUUGAUGAGGAAUGAUAAAAUGCUGUUCAAGUAGGAAAGAGAAGACGUUGCUGGUCAUUGGAAAAGAGAAAAUAAAGCCUUGAGUUGUCAGCAGUUGGGAGAAAUCUAUGCAAACUGGACAGAAAACGAAAGACCACAAACUCACAUCUGUGUAAUGAAAAUAAAAGGAAUGGAAGGAGGCUCUA